UCCUGGUGGCUCAGAUGGUAAAGUGUCUGCCUGUAAUGUGGGAGACCUGGGUUUGAUUCCUAGAUCGGGAA
rnacentral:tRNA from 1 species